rnacentral:lncRNA from 1 species
CAGGUGCAAAGGGAUUCUGCAGAGGGAGUGAGGGCAGGCUCAUAUGCAACACUGUGAUUAGAAAAGAUGUAAGGCACCUGAGCUAAGUUGUCAGCACACCCCCCAAAGCAAGGACUGUUAGAAAUCCGGACUCUUGAUCAGAUCUGAGUUUAUCAUUAAUGUGUCACUUGAAUUGAGCUUUAGAAUCUUGAAAAUCGUGUUCCUUACUCAGCAG